AGCAGCCCUCGCUAGGAGGAGGUUCUUAUCAUUGUGACCGAGUGCCCGCCUCUCCGCUUCCCACAGGGGAAGCCACUGGGCAGCCGUGCUCAGCAGAGGGCCCUGCACACAGAGGGUCCUCCACAUCCCUAUGACACGAGGGAAAAGCUGGUUAUCUGAUGUUCCUCUGACUCCGAUCACUGACCGAGCCCCAUGCACCUCAGAAGGUUUCUCUCCCACUGUGUCUGUGCUUCGUAGAGAGUUAACACACAACAAACACCUGCUAAUCUGAAUUCAGUGCCCACGAGUUUUCCGGGUCUGUGGCUACUGGCGCCGUCUUCCCAAAAGUCUGUUUAAUACCAUUGAACAGGCAGCCCUCCUAGAAGUUUUUCCCUACACCUGAGCUGGCCACAAGUUCUCCAUCCUCUUGGUGGCUUUGAAAAUCCCUUCAGGAUUCUGAGUGAAUACUUCAAGAGUGUGUUAUAAAUUCAGACACGUCUACGGGGCUUUAAAGUGCCGCAGCGGGAACCUCUUACUGAGGCAACCUGGGGGUAAAAGGCUUUUCACCUUCCCAGAGUGGCUCCACCCACAGCAUUUUCCUAGCCUGAAGUUAAAGAGGAAGAGGAGGAGGAGGAAGAGAAACUACCUGGCUGAGCCUCUUACCACCCCUUCGUCUCUCACGAGGCAGCUGUUUGAUUGCUACACUGUCACAUGUGUUGCAUACAAGCAAGAGAUACAAAACCCAAACUGUGAUUUUCCUGAAAGCCAGAAGCUGCCUGCCUGUCCCUGGGGUGAUCUGAAAUCCAGGCACAUCUCGCGAGGCCAGCAGCUCCCAGAGUGCGGCUCACGGACCUGCGGCCCCAACAUCGCCUGGGCUCUUGUGACAGAUACGCAACCGCGUGUGCAGGACAGGAUGCAGGGACCCCUGCUGUGUGGACUGUGGCUCUGAGGAAGAACUCCCGGUGUGACAAGGAGGGUGUCCGCCACAGAGCACAGGGUGACGGUCCUUCCCAUGAUGUGCAAAUCCACCCUGGCCGUCUUCUCACCGCAGCAGCACAUCUGCCAAGGUCACGUUUUCAAGAGUUUCCAUACCUCCAGUGCUGGCCGGAAUUAAUCAUUUAUGAUAUUUAAUAAAACACACAUCAAAAGCAUCAGCCUUCUCAUUGAUGAUGAUUUUUUAAUCAUAACACGAGGUGGGGAGGAUUCCUUAGAUGUCUAAAGUAGCUCAUUGAUUGAAAAAGUUUGAGGCCGGGUGCAGUGGCUCAUAUCUGUAAUCCCGACA
rnacentral:lncRNA from 10 species